rnacentral:rRNA from 1 species
UACAUGCAAGUCGAGCGGACCGGAUGAGGGCUUGCUCUGGUUUGGUCAGCGGCGGACGGGUGAGUAACACGUGGGCAACCUGCCCGCAAGACCGGGAUAACUCCGGGAAACCGGAGCUAAUACCGGAUAACACCGAAGACCGCAUGGUCUUCGGUUGAAAGGCGGCCUUUGGGCUGUCACUUGCGGAUGGGCCCGCGGCGCAUUAGCUAGUUGGUGAGGUAACGGCUCACCAAGGCGACGAUGCGUAGCCGGCCUGAGAGGGUGACCGGCCACACUGGGACUGAGACACGGCCCAGACUCCUACGGGAGGCAGCAGUAGGGAAUCUUCCGCAAUGGGCGAAAGCCUGACGGAGCGACGCCGCGUGAGCGAAGAAUGCCUUCGGGUCGUAAAGCUCUGUUGUGAGGGACGAAGGAGCGCCGUUGGAAGAAGGCGGCGCGGUGACGGUACCUCACGAGAAAGCCCCGGCUAACUACGUGCCAGCAGCCGCGGUAAUACGUAGGGGGCGAGCGUUGUCCGGAAUUAUUGGGCGUAAAGCGCGCGCAGGCGGUCUCUUAAGUCUGAUGUGAAAGCCCACGGCUCAACCGUGGAGGGUCAUUGGAAACUGGGGGACUUGAGGGCAGGAGAGGAGAGCGGAAUUCCACGUGUAGCGGUGAAAUGCGUAGAGAUGUGGAGGAACACCAGUGGCCAAGGCUGCUCUCUGGCCUGUACCUGACGCUGAGGCGCGAGAGCGUGGGGAGCAAACAGGAUUAGAUACCCUGCUACUCCACUCUGUACACGAUGAGUGCUAAGUGUUAGAGGGGGUCACACCCCUUUAGUGCUGCAGCUAACGCGAUUAGCACUGCCGCCUGGGGAGUACGGCGCGAGGCUGAAACUCAAGGUAUUGGACGGGCGCGCCGCACGAGCUGUGCAGCAUGAUGUUGAUACGAUGCACGCUAGACUUUACCAGGUGUGACAUCCAUGACACCCGAGGAGAUUGGCGAUUGCACGUAGGGGGCACGGGUCAGUGGAGCUCGUGUCUCACUCUGACGUGAGGAUCGAUGAAACGUCCUACGAGCAUGCUUAGUGCUGCCAGUGGAGUCCAAUGAUGCUGCAAGUCAGACAGUGGAGUGCUAUCAGCUGCUGACGGUCAAUGG